rnacentral:rRNA from 1 species
AGUGAACGCUGGCGGUAGGCCUAACAUAUGCAAGUCGAACGGCAGCACAGUAAGAGCUUGCUCUUACGGGUGGCGAGUGGCGGACGGGUGAGGAAUACAUCGGAAUCUACUUUUUCGUGGGGGAUAACGUAGGGAAACUUACGCUAAUACCGCAUACGACCUACGGGUGAAAGCAGGGGAUCUUCGGACCUUGCGCGAUUGAAUGAGCCGAUGUCGGAUUAGCUAGUUGGCGGGGUAAAGGCCCACCAAGGCGACGAUCCGUAGCUGGUCUGAGAGGAUGAUCGGCCACACUGGAACUGAGACACGGUCCAGACUCCUACGGGAGGCAGCAGUGGGGAAUAUUGGACAAUGGGCGCAAGCCUGAUCCAGCCAUACCGCGUGGGUGAAGAAGGCCUUCGGGUUGUAAAGCCCUUUUGUUGGGAAAGAAAAGCAGCAGGUUAAUACCCCGCUGUUCUGACGGUACCCAAAGAAUAAGCACCGGCUAACUUCGUG